AUGACCCUAAGACCUGAGUUCUCAGCGAGGUUAAGUAACUUGCCAGGGUCCGGGGUGGGUCACACUUGCAAAUGCACGGACGCCCUGCCUGAUUCAUCAUGGGCUGCAGGUCUGGUCAUGCUCCAUACUGGUUUGCCUGACGCCCUGGACACCGUUGCUGGCCCCAGAGUCUCCUGGUGCCCUAAACCCCUCUGCUGUAUCUCCAUCAUCAAUGAGCUGCGCUCCUCUGCUUCCUGGAACAGUCUUCCUCUUUGCUUCCACCGAAUUCCUGCUUCUCCUUCAGAUCCUCCUUCAGGGAGCUCCCCAGACCAUGGCCCCAAUGACAGAGGUGGGAGCUUCAGGCUCUGCCAAAGCAUUACUAAGCCCGGCGGUGACGUCACCCUCCCUGGUCCCAACCCGCCCCUGGCCAGCUUACCCUUCACCCCUGGCUGCCCCUGUGAGGAUGACACAUCCUGGGUAGGGGAGGGGCUGUGCCCUGGGACCAACGUGAAGGUCCUCCCCCGCCCAGCCUCCUCGGUGGGUGGGAUCUGGGCUCAGGUCCAUGUGCUCUCCGCAACACCCCACUUCCGCUAUGGCCAAACCAACAGCACCCCUGAAUUUCUCCGCAAAUUUCCUGCCUGCAAGGUCCCAGCAUUUGAGGAUGACGAUGGAUUCUGUGUGAUUGAGAGCAAUGCCAUUGCCUACCAUGUGAGCAAUGAGGAGCUGCGGGGAAGUACUCCAGAGGCAGCAGCCCAGGUGGUGCAGUGGGUGAGCUUUGCUGAUAGCGCCAUGGCACCUCCGGCCAGUACCUGGGUGUUCCCCACCUUGGGCAUCAUGCACCACGAUAAACAGGCCACUGAGAAUGCGAAGGAGGAAGUGAGGCGAAUUCUGGGGCUGCUGGAUGCUCACCUGAAGACGAGGACUUUUCUGGUGGGUGAACGAGUGACGUUGGCUGACAUCAUAGUUGUCUGCACUUUGUUGUGGCUUUAUAAACAGGUCCUGGAGCCUUCUUUCCGCCAGGCCUUUCCCAAUACCAACCGCCGGUUCCUCACCUGCAUUAAACAGCCCCGGUUCCGGGCUGUCUUGGGGGAAGUGAAACUGUGUGAGAAGAUGGCCCAGUUUGCUGCUAAAAAGUUUGCAGAGAGCCAACCUAAAAGGGACACACCAUGGAAAGAGAAGGGUUCACGGGAAGAGAAGCAGAAGCCCCAGGCUGAGCGGAAGGAGAAAAAGGCAGCUGCCCCUGCUCCUGAGGAGGAGAUGGAUGAAUGUGAGCAGGGGCUGGCUGCUGAGCCCAAGGCCAAAGACUCCUCUGCUCACCUGCCCAAGAGUACCUUUGUGUUGGAUGAAUUUAAGCACAAGAAUUCCAACGAGAACACACUCUCUGUGGCACUGACAUAUUUCUGGGAGCACUUUGAUAAGGACGGCUGGUCCCUGUGGUACUGAGUAUCGUUUCUCUGAAGAACUCACUCAGACUUUCAUGAGCUGCAAUUUCAUCACUGGAAGGUUCCAGAGACUGGACAAGCUGAGGAAGAAUGCCUUCGCCAGUGUCAUCCUCUUUGGAACCAACAAUAGCAGCUCCAUUUCUGGAGUCUGGGUCUUCCGAGGCCGGAAGCUUGCCUUUCAGCUGAGUCCAGAUUGGCAGGUGGACUAGAGUCAUACACAUGGCAGAAACUGGAUCCUGGCGGCGAGAAGGCCCAGACGCUGGUUCGAGAGUACUUCUCCUGGGAGGGGGCCUUCCAGCAUGUGGGCAAAGCCUUUAAUCAGGGCAAGAUCUUCAAGUGAACAUCUCUUGCCAUCACCUCGCUGCCUGCACCUGUCCUUCAGGGAGAUGGGGCUUAUUAAAGGAAACGGAACAUUGAAAAAAAAAAAAAAGAAUACAUUUAACAAAAGAAGAACAAUGCUUGCACCCUAAAAACUGUAAAAUAUGAUUGAAAUAAAUUAAAAGAGACCUAAAUAAAUGGAAAGAUUGCUUCUGUUCAUGGAUUGGAAGAUUUAAUACUAUUAAGAUGGGAAUGCACUCCAAAUUGAUUUACAGAUUCAGUGCCACCUUUAUCAAAAUCCCAGCUGGCUGUUUUACAGAAACGGAUGAGCUGAUCCUAAAAUUCAUACGGAAAUGUAAAGGGCCAAGAAUAGAUAAAACAGACUUGACAAAGAACAAAGUUGGAGAACUCACACU